UGGGGUGAUGGUGUCCGAAAGAACAUGUAGUUAUAAAUUUCGAUGGCUUUAAACAUUUCGUACUGCCUGUCGGCCGUUCUUUGUACCUGUAAGAUACUUUCACAGUAAAGUUGACUUGUACAAUUCAAAAGGGUGGAUGUGGUGCAAGUUUUUAGUGCCGCUAGGAGUUGACUUAAUGUAAUCUUGUCCCACAGAACUUCAUGUAUGAAGAUCUUUGAAUAGCUUCAAUAUUUGUUGUAUAUUGUGUGGUAGCUGUAGUGACUAGUGAAGGAAAAUGGGCGUCUGCUAUUCGUGUUUUAAAGGUUCUGCGUCGGACUAUGAGACUCCUGAUAUGAAUGUAUCCUGCAACAUAGACUGUCAGUCUUUGAAGAAUUAUUGAAAAUUUUGUUGGCUGGAAACAAAACGGAAACAGAUGGCUGAGGCAGCAGAGAGGCGACAAAAGGAGCAGGAGUCAAGGGGAGUGAAAAAUCCUCAACAGCCACGGAAAAAAAUGCCAGCAGCAGAAUUACCUGAAAAUUCUAAU